GGAGAGCUGGGCUUCGAGGCGUCAGUGUGAAGGGAAGGCUAAGGACGCAUCGGUGCUGGAGAGUUGAGAAUAUGCCUUCCCCUCCACCCCCAACCCAGUCACCUUAUUUGAAAAAAAAUUAAAAAACACCUUUUAUUUAAAAACCUAACCCUGGAAGUUUGCUCGCUGACAUCAGGGGAGCAACGUGAACACAGGAAAAUGGAAAUCAACAUUUGAAACUUUUAAAUGGAAGCUUUAUUGGGGUUCCACAUAUGGAAAACUGCAAAUAGCAGAAGUAUGUGACUCAAUAAAUUAUUCUGGAGUGACCACAUCCUCUAACUGCCUCCCAGGACAAGACGGAGAAUGUGAACAAUGCUCCUGAAGGCCCCUUUCCCUCAAAGAAUCACUGCAAUUGAAGGAAAAAUGCUCCAUGUCCCCUCUGCCAGUUGGUGUUUAUCAAAGGACAACGGAGGAAGAGAGACAAAGUGCCUGGAUGUGUGUGUUAAUCAAGAGUUGUCAGGACCCUGCCUCUAAAAGAAAGCGCUAAAAUGAUGCUUUUGACAAGACUUUUCUCAAAGUGGAUGCAGUCUAAGGGUUGGAAAACAAGGCCCAAUCAGGCUAGGUCUGACUUGUCGCCUGCUUUUGUAAAUAAAGUUUUAUUGGCUCACAGACA
rnacentral:lncRNA from 1 species